UUUAUACAAUGGAGAGUUUGAUCCUGGCUCAGGAUGAACGCUAGCGGCAGGCCUAACACAUGCAAGUCGAGGGGCAUCACGAGGUAGCAAUACUUUGGUGGCGACCGGCGCACGGGUGCGUAACGCGUAUGUAACCUACCUAUAACAGGGGCAUAACACUGAGAAAUUGGUACUAAUUCCCCAUAAUAUUCGGAGAGGCAUCUCUCCGGGUUGAAAACUCCGGUGGUUAUAGAUGGACAUGCGUUGUAUUAGCUAGUUGGUGAGGUAACGGCUCACCAAGGCAACGAUACAUAGGGGGACUGAGAGGUUAACCCCCCACACUGGUACUGAGACACGGACCAGACUCCUACGGGAGGCAGCAGUGAGGAAUAUUGGUCAAUGGACGCAAGUCUGAACCAGCCAUGCCGCGUGCAGGAAGACGGCUCUAUGAGUUGUAAACUGCUUUUGUACGAGGGUAAACUCACCUACGUGUAGGUGACUGAAAGUAUCGUACGAAUAAGGAUCGGCUAACUCCGUGCCAGCAGCCGCGGUAAUACGGAGGAUUCAAGCGUUAUCCGGAUUUAUUGGGUUUAAAGGGUGCGUAGGCGGUUUGAUAAGUUAGAGGUGAAAUCCCGGGGCUUAACUCCGGAACUGCCUCUAAUACUGUUAGACUAGAGAGUAGUUGCGGUAGGCGGAAUGUAUGGUGUAGCGGUGAAAUGCUUAGAGAUCAUACAGAACACCGAUUGCGAAGGCAGCUUACCAAACUAUAUCUGACGUUGAGGCACGAAAGCGUGGGGAGCAAACAGGAUUAGAUACCCUGGUAGUCCACGCAGUAAACGAUGAUAACUCGUUGUCGGCGAUACACAGUCGGUGACUAAGCGAAAGCGAUAAGUUAUCCACCUGGGGAGUACGUUCGCAAGAAUGAAACUCAAAGGAAUUGACGGGGGCCCGCACAAGCGGAGGAACAUGUGGUUUAAUUCGAUGA
rnacentral:rRNA from 1 species